GGGGAGUCUUCCUUGGUGAUUGGAAAAGCUAAUAGUUUAAAGCUUUGGGGAGUCUUCCCUGGUGAUUGGAAAAGCUAGCCUAGUGAAAAGCAAGAGGUGUGAAUCCCAGAAAUUCGAACCCUGUGAGACGGACUACACGUGGAUAGCUAAGUUCAUAGUCUUUGUGUAAAACAAGUUAUAGAAACGGAAAGCAUUCAGGUAUCGCAGCAGUUGACGAUCGUUCUCGGGGCAAGAGGCCCGUGGUUGAUGAGUAGAUCUGAGCAUAGAUGUUGCCUGCUUAUUUUGGGAGUCUGUUGCAUAUAUUGUGACACUGUGAUGUAUUAUGUUUAUGUAGGUUGAUGUAGGAUGUUGUAGUUAUGGCACAGAGUCACCUUUUUGAUAUGAUAUAUAUAGAGUUAUGGAUCAU